rnacentral:rRNA from 1 species
GAUGAACGCUGGCGGCGUGCCUAAUACAUGCAAGUCGAGCGAACGGACGAGAAGCUUGCUUCUCUGAUGUUAGCGGCGGACGGGUGAGUAACACGUGCAUAACCUACCUAUAUGACUGGGAUAACUUCGGGAAACCGGAGCUAAUACCGGAUGAUAUUUUGAACCGCAUGGUUCAAAAGUUAAUGACGGUCUUGCUGUCACUUAUAGAUGGAUCCGCGCUGCAUUAGCUAGUUGGUAAGGUAACGGCUUACCAAGGCAACGAUGCAUAGCCGACCUGAGAGGGUGAUCGGCCACACUGGAACUGAGACACGGUCCAGACUCCUACGGGAGGCAGCAGUAGGGAAUAUUCCGCAAUGGGCGAAAGCCUGACGGAGCAACGCCGCGUGAGUGAUGAAGGUCUUCGGAUCGUAAAACUCUGUUAUUAGGGAAGAACAUAUGUGUAAGUAACUGUGCACAUCUUGACGGUACCUAAUCAGAAAGCCACGGCUAACUACGUG